GUGGCACAGUGGUAGAGUGCUUGUCUAAGAAUCAAAAUGUCUGAGGUUCGAUUCCCAGC
rfam:Daphnia magna strain Xinb3 contig19050, whole genome shotgun sequence.